AGUGAACGCUGGCGGUAGGCCUAACACAUGCAAGUCGAACGGCAGCACAGUAAGAGCUUGCUCUUACGGGUGGCGAGUGGCGGACGGGUGAGGAAUACAUCUGAAUCUACUUUUUCGUGGGGGAUAACGUAGGGAAACUUACGCUAAUACCGCAUACGACCUACGUGUGAAAGCAGGGGAUCUUCGGACCUUGCGCUAUUGAAUGAGCCGAUGUCGGAUUAGCUAGUUGGCGGGGUAAAGGCCCACCAAGGCGACGAUCCGUAGCUGGUCUGAGAGGAUGAUCAGACACACUGGAACUGAGACACGGUCCAGACUCCUACGGGAGGCAGCAGUGGGGAAUAUUGGACAAUGGGCGCAAGCCUGAUCCAGCCAUACCGCGUGGGUGAAGAAGGACUUCGGGUUGUAAAGCCCUUUUGUUGGGAAAGAAAAGCAGCAGGUUAAUACCCCGCUGUUCUGACGGUACCCAAAGAAUAAGCACCGGCUAACUUCGUG
rnacentral:rRNA from 1 species